GACAUAGGUGGCAAACGUUAUCCGGAAUUAUUGGGCGUAAAGAGCUCGUAGGCGGUGUGUCGCGUCGGCCGUGAAAACCUGGGGCUUAACUCUGGGCGUGCGGUCGAUACGGGCAUCACUAGAGUUCGGCAGGGGAGACUGGAAUUCCUGGUGUAGCGGUGAAAUGCGCAGAUAUCAGGAGGAACACCGGUGGCGAAGGCGCUCUGCUGGACCAUAACUGACACUCAGGGACGAAAGCUAGGGGAGCGAAUGGG
rnacentral:rRNA from 1 species